GUAUACUUCAGCAGUACAUAUGCUAAAAUUGCCACGAUACAGACAUUAGCAUGGUCCCUGCACAAGGGUGACGCGCAAAUUAGUAAAGCGUUUCAUAUAUUU